rnacentral:pre_miRNA from 1 species
CCCACACCCAUGUGUGUAGGACCUCAAAGGUUCACCAUUAAAUUUGGCACAGAUCUCUAGAAAAGUUAUCACAUGGGUGUGGGACUUGACUUUUCUAGAUAUCUGUGCCAAAUUUAGUGGUGAUCCUUUGGGGUCCUACACACAUGGGUGUGGA